rnacentral:rRNA from 1 species
GUGCCAGCAGCCGCGGUAAUUCCAGCUCCGAUAGCGUAUAUUAAAGUUGUUGUGGUUAAAAAGCUCGUAGUUGAACCUUGGGCCUGGCUGGCCGGUCCGCCUCACCGCGUGCACUGGUCCGGCCGGGCCUUUCCCUCUGUGGAACCCCAUACCCUUCACUGGGCGUGGCGGGGAAACAGGACAUUUACUUUGAAAAAAUUAGAGUGCUCCAGGCAGGCCUAUGCUCGAAUACAUUAGCUUGGAAUAAUAAAAUAGGACGCGCGGUUCUAUUUUGUUGGUUUAUAGGACCGCCGUAAUGAUUAAUAGGGACAGUCGGGGGCAUCAGUAUUCAACUGUCAGAGGUGAAAUUCUUGGAUCAGUUGAAGACUAACUACUGCGAAAGCAUUUGCCAAGGAUGUUUUCAUUAAUCAGGAACGAAAGUUAGGGGAUCGAAGACGACCAGAUACCGUCGUAGUCUUAACCAUAAACUAUGCCGACUAGGGAUCGGACGGUGUUAUUCAUGACCCGUUCGGCACCUUACGAGAAAUCAAAGUGCUUGGGCUCCAGGGGGAGUAUGGUCGCAAGGCUGAAACUUAAAGAAAUUGACGGAAGGGCACCACCAGGGGUGGAGCCUGCGGCUUAAUUUUGACUCAACACGGGGAAACUCACCAGGUCCAGACACAAUAAGGAUUGACAGAUUGAGAGCUCUUUCUUGAUUUUGUGGUGGUGGUGCAUGGCCGUUCUUAGUUGGUGGGUGACUCGUCUGCUUAAUUGCGAUACGAACGAGACCUUAACCUGCUAAAUAGCCCGCAUUGCUCCGGCAGUGCGCUGGCUUCUUAGAGGGACUUCGGCUCAAGCCGAAGG